CGGCGUGUAGCGCAGCCUGGUAGCGCACUUGCAUGGGGUGCAAGGGGUCGUGAGUUCGAAUCCCACCACGCCGA
rfam:Burkholderiales bacterium RIFOXYC12_FTLL_65_23 rifoxyc3_full_scaffold_127, whole genome shotgun sequence.